AUCUAGGGGGUGCCUGGGUCCCCCUGCGGCGCGCGUUCCCGGCGCGCGCUCCACGAUGCAGGGGGAAGGGAAGGUGAGGCGGCGUCCCGGGCUCUGGCUAAGGCUAAGGCUGGGAGCCACACCGGCUACAAGCGCAUGACAGGAGUGUGUGCUCUGGUGUUCGGGAGCGAGGACGAGGAAGCUGUGGGCUUGGAGAUAAAAUGGGGUUUGCUGCUAGGACAAGCAGUUGCGGGAACAUGUGUGCACGCAGCGUGGGGCCCUCACCUCUUCCUCCGUUUCCCCCUCUAGCCCGUGCCUGUUGCAAGCCUAAAGUUUGACUCCCAGUUAGGGCUUUUGCUCCCAGCUCCUGUCUGUGUGUCUCCCCAGAGGCUGGGGGUGCGACGGAGCCUGGGAGGAGACCCCGGAUGCGGGGGACACGCCUGGGUCCGGAGAGGGGUGAAGGCGGAAACCCGUGGGACUCGCGGGGACAAGCUGAGUACCUGGUGUGGGAAGCGUUUGUGCCGGCCCGUUUUGCAUAACACUGGGAGGGAGGGGAAGGCGGAGGGGGGGGCGGGAGGUGGGAGGAGAGAGGGAAACUUUGCUUCUGGUUAGAAUCUACCAGUCUUUGGGCGGUAGCAGCUGUCAUGGGACCGGGUGGGCGGGGAGAGGCUUGCAAGCUGACUCCUUGCGGUGAGACGCGACUUGGAGGGGGGACGCAGCGGCCGAGAGACGUUCUGCUCCGGGAAACCUCCCGGUGGCGAAUUGAAGCUGGCGACUAGGACAGGCGUCGUUGCGGGGGUGUCGCCGAGAGGAAGCCCGCCACGCGCGGGAGACGGCGGGCCAUAGCUCUCUGCAAACGCCGUGGCGUCCCGGAGCCGCGGGGGCCGCGUGGUGUGUGGCUGGCGCGCUCUCGGGUGGGUUCAUAGCAGAGGCCCAAGGGGAUGGUGGCGGGUGAUCGCGCUUCUUCAGGUCGGGAGGCGGUGUUAAUGAGCGGGCUGUGCGCGGGUGUGUGUGUGUGUGUGUGUGUGUGUGUGUGUCCCCUGAGCCUGUGCACACGCCGCGCGCGCCGGGCGCGUACCUUUACCUCUGACGAAACUGCAGUGGAGCGCCGGGCAGCGUCGCCGGGCACGGUCACACGCCCGGUGUUAUGUCUGCCCAAGGCGGGCCUUAGCACCCCGGGGGUGGACAGCGUGGAACCAGGGCUGGAGGUGGUAGGGGCAUGGGGGUCCGGGCAGAAGACCUGCACCCCAGAUCUCGAUUGCCUGGAGUCGUGUCCAUAUCUCUACACUUAAGAACCGAGUAGCCCAAAAUAGCCAGUGAGACUCCUUCACACAUACCAAGAUUGUCUGCUCUGGACAGGACCCUCGACUUUAACUCUAGCUUUUGGUGUUUGGCUCACCGAUAAUUAAUUAACUGUUUGCCCUUUUAGCCACCAGCCUAUCCCACUCAGUAGGGUAAUUUCCUAGCUUCACCAAAGGAAUCUGGAAAAUUGGGUAAUCAGUUGUCAGCAGAAGCAGUGCAGUGAAAGUUAAUUUGGGACGUUUGUUCCCCCCCACCCCACCCCCUUUUAACUUAAUCACGUGAUAGGCCGAAGAUCUCCGGGUGAUCUUUGCCGGGCCAACUUGGGAAAUGUAAUUGAUACCAGGAGCUUUGCAGCCGCCCCUAGAAGGCUCAGAGCUGAGCGGGAAUGGGCGGGGCAGCCCGCCGCCUCAUUUUACAGUUGGGGAAGAGGCUGCGAGGGGUGAACUGCUUGUCCACGACCACUCAGCCAGGGGGUGACAGAGCCACCCGGGGCUCCUGACUCCAGGUCCUGUGUGUUACCUCGAAAUAGCACUGGACUUGGAGUCAGAAGGCCUGAGUGGAGUCACCUUCCCCGCUCUCUGGCUGGGUGAUCCUGGAGCAAGCCAUUUUAACUCUCCAGCCGUGUUUCUCCAUCUGUCCAAUGGGGCCGGUGUGGUGCUGACGGAGAAGCCAGAGGCCUGCUGGUGGGGGUGAGCCUGUGUUUGCAUGUGAGCUGUCUGGCUGUCCAGCUUCUUCCCCACAGCCCUUCCCAGACCCUCCCCUCCCCCCAGCUCUCCCCCUCGGGAGGGUUGGGGAAAGUGGAUUGUCUCUGUUCCCCCAAAGAGUUCUUCUUGUCUUUGGUGGCUAACCCAGGCUUAGAUUAUAGAGAUCUGUUUGAGAGACUUAAAGUUUAUUCGUUGGGGCCAAAGUAGCCAUUUAUCAGAACCAGGCUUGUGGAAGCGUUUUGGAAAUGUUUGAAGAUUGGGUUCCAAAGACUCUGUGCUGACUUCGCUUUUGUUCCAGCUGUACCCCUUGCUUAGUGGGCCUUUGCCUACCAUCCCGCAUGGCUUUCUCCCUUAGUAGGCCUUCCUGCCAGCUUGCCCUGCUCUCUCUUCUGCCUUUCAUAGUUCGUUAUAAAGCCAAGCACUUUAUGUGUUUGAGUCUAUCCAGUAGGAUCCAAGUUGAGUCUUUUAUCUUUGUGUGCCCACAUGGCACCUGUCACCAUGCUGAGCAAUGCCCCUUUGCCUGGCUCUUGAUGAGGUACAUGGACUACAAAUAGGGGUACAGCUGAGCCUUGCCAGACAAGCUCAUGGGCUGACAGAGAAGACAGCUGGGUAGUGAACAUGGGAGAGGGGGCAUUGUCGAGGGCUACAGCUGCUAGCAAAAGCCUUGACUCCAAAGGCCAUGCAGGAAGCCCAGCAAAUAAAGGAAUUAUUUGAAGUCACUUGAGAGCCUGGAAGAACUGUGACAGUGUCAGAGACGACAAGGACAUUAUAAAUCAGCAAGUCCAACCCUUAUUUAAAAAUAAUUUUAACAGUGUUAGAAAACACUGCUAAGUGUCAUGAAAAGGGAGUCAUGUUUUAUAUUUUACAUUUGUCUAAAUUAGCUAAUUUUGUAUGUGUGUUUGCAUGUGUGUGCUCUGGCAUGUGUGUGGAGGUCAGAGGACGACGCCAUGAGGUGCAGAACUUUGUUCUCUUCCACAAAAUGGGACAUGGAGAUUGAACUCAGGUGGUCAGCCUUUGCCUGCUGAGGCCUCUCACCAGUCCAGAAAUAUGUAAUAUUAUCCAAAGAUAGCUGCUUUAAAGUCUAUGUAUCUCUAGAUGUUUUUUUUCUUUCCUAUUCAUAUAGACCAGUUAUUUUGGGGGGUGGGGGGAGAAGAAAAUGAUAAAUGAAGUUAUUCUGUUAUACUAAUUUGUAUCUUGCAAGCACACUGUUUUGUAACUUGCUUUUUUUUUUUCUCCUCCUCACAAUAUGCUGUGAACAUCUUUCCUCAUCAAUAAAUAUUGUGCCUAAUAUCUUAAAAAAAAAAAAAAAAAAAAAAAAAAAAAAAAAAUUAAAAAAAAAAAAAAAAAAAAAAAAAAAAAAAAAAAAAAAAAAAUAUUCAAAAAAAAAAAAAAAAAAAAAAAAAAAAAA
rnacentral:precursor_RNA from 1 species